rnacentral:lncRNA from 1 species
UCUUGUCUCUCCUCCCAGAAUGUUGCACCUUGAAAGCAGGAGGCAUGCCUUCAUCAUUUGUGGAAUGCAUACAACAUAGUAGCAGUGUGCAGAAAAUUUACUAAAUGAAAGAAGGAGGAAAUUUUUCCUUUCAUACAUUUAGCUACUGAAUAUAUGAUUUGUGGAAGAUUGUAUUUUCAAACUGGAUACUACAAGGAAGAAUGCACAGAUCCAGAAAACAAGAGGUGGAAGGAGGAGUGUCCCACAUAUCAUCAUCCCAAUGACCUCCUGAUGGAAAUCAUACUUCCCUGAUCCACAGCUCUGAGCUCUGCAGCACUGGAAAUCCUCUUCUCCAAAAAGGUGCAAGGAUCCAAAUGAAC